rnacentral:rRNA from 1 species
GAUGAACGCUGGCGGCGUGCCUAAUACAUGCAAGUCGAGCGAACAGACGAGGAGCUUGCUCCUCUGACGUUAGCGGCGGACGGGUGAGUAACACGUGGAUAACCUACCUAUAAGACUGGGAUAACUUCGGGAAACCGGAGCUAAUACCGGAUAAUAUAUUGAACCGCAUGGUUCAAUAGUGAAAGACGGUUUUGCUGUCACUUAUAGAUGGAUCCGCGCCGGAUUAGCUAGUUGGUAAGGUAACGGCUUACCAAGGCAACGAUGCGUAGCCGACCUGAGAGGGUGAUCGGCCACACUGGAACUGAGACACGGUCCAGACUCCUACGGGAGGCAGCAGUAGGGAAUCUUGCGCAAUGGGCGAAAGCCUGACGGAGCAACGCCGCGUGAGUGAUGAAGGUCUUCGGAUCGUAAAACUCUGUUAGUAGGGAAGAACAAAUGUGUAAGUAACUAUGCACGUCUUGACGGUACCUAAUCAGAAAGCCACGGCUAACUACGUG